rnacentral:rRNA from 1 species
UCACUAGUCGAGUGACCCUGCGCCGAAAAUGUACCGGGGCUAAGCCUGAUACCGAAACUGCGGAUUGUAGGAAACUAUAGUGGUAGGGGAGCGUUGUAUACGAGCAGAAGCCGUACCGUGAGGAGCGGUGGAUUGUAUAGAAGUGAGAAUGCCGGUGUGAGUAGCGAGAUGUAGGUGAGAAUCCUACACACCGAAAGCCCAAGGAUUCCAGGGGAAGGUUCGUCCGCCCUGGGUAAGUCGGGACCUAACGCGAGGCCGAAAGGCGUAGUGGAUGGAAAGCAGGCGAAAGAUUCCUGCACCCGUAUAUGGAGCGAAGGAGUGACGGAGACGGAUAGUGUGACCCUCUUAAUGGAUUGAGGGCGAAGCGAAGCGGCUGGUUACCAGGCAAAUCCGGUAACCAUAAGGCUAGAGCGUGACAGGUAAGCGAAAUCUUCGGAAAGUAGCGAAGCACAUGAUGACGGCUUCCAGGAAAAGCUUCUGGCAAUGCAUAUGCGGCCCGUACCAAAACCGACACAGGUGGGCAGGGAGAGAAUCCCGAGGUGAGCGAGAGAACUGUUGCCAAGGAACUCGGCAAAAUGACUCCGUAAGUUAGCGAGAAGGAGUGCUUAAGCAAUUAAGCCGCAGUGAAGAGGCCCAAGCGACUGUUUAACUAAAACACAGCUCUCUGCGAAGUCGCAAGACGAAGUAUAGGGGGUGACACCUGCCCGGUGCUGGAAGGUUAAGAGGAUCUGUUAAGAGCGAUCUGAAGCAGUGAUCCGAAGCCCCAGUGAACGGCGGCCGUAACUAUAACGGUCCUAAGGUAGCGAAAUUCCUUGUCAGGUAAGUUCUGACCCGCACGAAAGGUGUAACGAUUUGGGCGCUGUCUCGGCAGCAGACUCGGUGAAAUCUUAGUACCUGUGAAAAUGCAGGUUACCCGCAACUAGACGGAAAGACCCCAUGGAGCUUUACUGCAGCCUGAUAUUGAAUUCUGGUCAUACAUGUACAGGAUAGGUGGGAGACAAAGAGACGUGCACGCCAGUGUACGAGGAGUCGACGUUGGGAUACCACUCUUGUGUGACCGGGGUUCUAACCUGGUAUCGAGAACAGGUACGGGGAGAGUGUCAGGUGGGCAGUUUGACUGGGGCGGUCGCCUCCCAAAGAGUAACGGAGGCGCCCAAAGGUACGCUCAGAUUGGAUGGAAACCAAUCGUCGAGUGCAAUUGCAGAAGCGUGCUUGACUGUGAGACAGACAAGUCGAACAGGGACGAAAGUCGGGAAUAGUGAUCCGGCGGUGCCGAAUGGAAGGGCCGUCGCUCAACGGAUAAAAGCUACCCUGGGGAUAACAGGC